GGCCCCAUACGAUCCUACCCUGAGAGGGCAACUCAGCCAGACAAUUGGGACAGCCAUGAUAAGGACCGCCAUUGGGACCCAAACACAAGUCGUGGCAGGCUACCCCUGUGGAUCCCACGUGGGACAUUAAGAGACAGGGAGUCGUAGAUUGCCUUCCCAUGGCAAACUCCAGUAUAAAGGGGAAAGCACGCAGGACUCCUCCGAAGUGGUUUGGCCAGGCGAAACAACACUUCCAGGAAUUCGGUCUGAAGCAAAACCCAAAGUAUCCUGUAGGUAAACGGGAUGCGUACGCCCCAAAGGAGACCAAGCUUGGAAAACUCGUCCCUCGCCUCGCUGAGGGUCCGGCAGCCAGUUGGAGAACCGCUCCAUAUGGCGGUUCGCACCGAAUGUAAUCAUGCCAGUACUCGAGACCCUGGAGGGUGAGGCAACCAAUCACUGGGGUCUCUCCAUGGCCGGGUGAAGCCGUCCGCCACACGAGUGUCUCGUCCCGCAUACAUUCUGUCACAAAUGACGAAUACUUGUCCAGAAGCUAUAGAUAGCGAUCCUAUGUGAGAUCCGACUGCAGUCCGUAGUGGGCAACCGGUGAGAA